AGAGGGUAGAAAGAGAGGGAAAGACUGCGGGUGGAAGAACAGAGAUGGCGGAGCCAGAGGUGGAGGCCUUUGAGAAUGUUGCACGAAGAUGUUGAAAAUUAAGCAUCAUAAUUUGGCCUUCCUCCAAAAAAGAUCUCUGCUAGUCGAGCAUUUUAUUCUGAAAUCAACAUCAACACCUGCACUUCAAAAACAUGAUUUCUCUACUAAUUAGUGCAGUAUCACUGCACAGUGCUUCGGAGUCUAUCACAUGCAAUCGACCCUGCAAGGUACAUCCUCAUUACAAAUUUCUCGAGUUAUUUGAAUCUUUAAGCUGAUGCUUGAUGCUAAUUUAUAAGUUGAAAUCAAGAUGGUUUAGCCUUGUGAAAGCUAUCGUGUUCUCAGCUUAGGAUGCAUAUAUUCUAAUCUAUUAUCCUCCUGUCACGUAGUAAACCAUCCAUGAUAUUGCUAGAUAACGGUAGGGGGCACAGGUGGGGCAACAUGGGGUUUGGCUGCACACACAGCUUCGUAAGUAUCCUAAGAGGAAAGCAACAAUAUUGGGUGGACGUUGCUUUCACUUUCUCCUGUGUGUGCUCGUGCUUGAGAGCUUUUAGUUUGGAUAAGGUGUCAUAGUGCUGGUUUCAUGAUAGGCACUCGUUGACAUCGUUAUACUUGGAGGAAUCUGAUAUCUCUGGAGAGUUACUACUUUGAUGUAAC